rnacentral:rRNA from 1 species
AGCAGCCGCGGUAAUUCCAGCUCCAAUAGCGUAUAUUAAAGUUGUUGCAGUUAAAAAGCUCGUAGUUGAAUUUCGGGACCAGUAUGUCGGUCGUGCUUCGGUACGUACUUGCAUUAUUGGUUUCUCCCUUCUGACGAACCAUGAUGUCAUUAAUUUGAUGUCAUGGGAAAUCAGGACUGUUACUUUGAAAAAAUUAGAGUGUUUAAAGCAGGCUCGCGCUUGAAUACAUUAGCAUGGAAUAAUGAAAUAGGACGUUUGAUUCUAUUUUGUUGGUUUCUAGGAUCGACGUAAUGAUUAAUAGGGAUAGUUGGGGGCAUUAGUAUUCAAUUGUCAGAGGUGAAAUUCUUGGAUUUAUUGAAGACUAACUACUGCGAAAGCAUUUGCCAAGGAUGUUUUCAUUAAUCAAGAACGAAAGUUAGGGGAUCGAAGACGAUCAGAUACCGUCGUAGUCUUAACCAUAAACUAUGCCGACUAGGGAUCGGAUGAUGUUAAUUUUUUAAUGA